rnacentral:rRNA from 1 species
UGCCAGCAGCCGCGGUAAGACGGAGGGGGCUAGCGUUGUUCAGAAUUACUGGGCGUAAAGCGCGCGUAGGCGGCCUGUCGAGUCGGGCGUGAAAGCCCGGGGCUCGACCCCGGAGGUGCGUUCGAGACUGGCGGGCUGGAGUCCGGGAGAGGGGAGUGGAAUUCCCAGUGUAGAGGUGAAAUUCGUAGAUAUUCGGAGGAACACCAGUAGCGAAGGCGGCUACCUGGCUCAUUACUGACGCUAAUGCGCGAAGGCGUGGGGAGCGAAGCCGAUUAGAUA